ACGCACCUUCGGGUGAGUGGCGGACGGGUGAGUAACGCGUGGGAACGUGCCCUUUGGUACGGAACAACUGAGGGAAACUUCAGCUAAUACCGUAUGUGCCCUUCGGGGGAAAGAUUUAUCGCCAUUGGAGCGGCCCGCGUUGGAUUAGGUAGUUGGUGGGGUAAAGGCCCACCAAGCCUACGAUCCAUAGCUGGUCUGAGAGGACGACCAGCCACACUGGAACUGAGACACGGUCCAGACUCCUACGGGAGGCAGCAGUGGGGAAUUUUGGACAAUGGGGGCAACCCUGAUCCAGCCAUGCCGCGUGAGUGAAGAAGGCCUUCGGGUUGUAAAGCUCUUUCAGCCGGAAAGAAACGGUCACGGUGAAUAUCCGUGACUAAUGACGGUACCGGCAGAAGAAGCACCGGCUAACUACGUGCCAGCAGCCGCGGUAAUACGUAGGGUGCGAGCGUUAAUCGGAAUUACUGGGCGUAAAGCGUGCGCAGGCGGUUUUGUAAGACAGAUGUGAAAUCCCCGGGCUUAACCUGGGAACUGCAUUUGUGACUGCAAGGCUAGAGUACGGCAGAGGGGGGUAGAAUUCCACGUGUAGCAGUGAAAUGCGUAGAUAUGU
rnacentral:rRNA from 1 species